UACAGGGGGGGGCAAGCGUUGUUCGGAAUUACUGGGCGUAAAGGGUUCGUAGGUGGCCACUUAAGUCAGACGUGAAAAUCCCUCAGCUUAACUGGGGAACUGCGUCUGAUACUGAGUGGCUUGAGUGCAGGAGAGGAAUGCGGAAUUCCAGGUGUAGCGGUGAAAUGCGUAGAUAUCGGAAGGAACAUCAGUGGCGAAAGCGACUUCCUGGACCAAUACUGACGCUCAUGCACGAAAGCGUGGGGAGCAAACAGG
rnacentral:rRNA from 1 species